rnacentral:lncRNA from 1 species
GAUUUUAAAUAAAUAAAAUUAAAAAAAGCGGGCUAUUUCAGUGGAAUCAUAUAGCUUUUAAGUAAAACGAAAGCACUGUUACUAAGGUUUGGCAGUAUUGAAAGCCAUGGAAGGAACCACUAUCUAAUUAUUGAUGGUAAAAGCACGAUUUGGUGAGAAAAACAGUGAGUGUAAUUGAGAUCGGCUGGUAUACUAUCGGUAGCACAGAGGAUUCCGUGCUUCUAAGUUGUUUUCAAUGAUGCGGCUUCCAAAUACUAUCGGUAGCAUAGAGGAUUCUGUGCUUCUAAGUUGUUUUCAAUGAUGCGGCUUCCAAAUCGACAAUCGGUUCCGUUAGACUUGAUCUACACUAUUGAAAGUAUUUGAAAACUAAAUUUCAUAAAUUUUUGGCAUCAUUUACCUAUUAAACGAGUAGUCUAAAAAUGAACGGCUGAAAAUAAAAAUCUCCUAAAAAAUGAUGAUAAAAGCCUUGAAUUUAAGAUCAGAGGUAUUGAUUUUACUUUAAAUAGUGAAAUUUUUUUUAAAAAAAUUUCAUUAGAUUUGGAUUGUUUGACACGGUAAAAUUCACAAACGCAUCACAUCUACUAUUAAAAUUGUCGAUUUUGAGACCUUUUGAUCACUAGCCAAAUGAUGUCGAAGAAUUAUGAAAUUUAGUUUUCAAAUACUUUUAAUAGUGUAGAUCAAGUCUAACGGAGUCGAUUGUUAAUUUGGAAGCCGCAUCAUUAAAAACAACGGCCUCCGUGUUACCGAUAGUAUACCAGCCUAACUCUAUAUAUAGAGUCCGGCUACUAUACUAUCGAUAGUACCAAGCCCUUAGUACUAUUGAGUUUUCUACCAUUAGAUCUACCCUUUGAUCAUUUCCACUCGUUAGAUUAUACUAUUAAACCAACCAUCCACUCAACUCUAGGGGACCACUAUUAAUUUAGCCGGGGAUCACUGUCAUCCUUAUCGCACAUAUUUUCAUCCAACGGUCGAAAACUCAAUAGUACCAAGGGCUUGGUACUAUUGAUAGCAUAGUAGCAUAAUUCUCUCUCUCUCUCUCUCUCUCUCUCUCUCUCUCUCUCUAUAUAUAUAUAUAUAUAUAUAUAUAUAUAUAUAUAUAU